GACGAACGCUGGCGGCGUGCUUAACACAUGCAAGUCGAACGGAAAAGCCCUGCUUUCAGGGUACUCGAGUGGCGAACGGGUGAGUAACACGUAGGUGAUCUGCCCCCCACUUCGGGAUAAGCCUGGACAACUGGAAAUAAUACCUGAUAGGAGCCAUUUUGAGUGUGUUGGUUGGAAAGUUUGUUCGGUGUAGGAUGGGCUCGUGGGCUAUCAGCUCGUUGGUGGGGUAAUGGCCUAGCAAGGCGGCGACGGGUAGCGGGGCCGAGAGGGUGGUCGGCCACAUUGGGGCCUAGUAACGGCCCAGGCACCUACGGGUGGCAGCAGUUGGGAAUAUUGCUCAAGGGGCGCCGGCGUGAUGCAGCGAGGCCGCGUGGGGGAGUACGGCCCUCGGGUUGGAGACUCAGUUCGCUAGGGACGAAGCUUUUUGUGACGGUACCUAGAUAAGAAGCGCCGGCUAACUACGUG
rnacentral:rRNA from 1 species